AAUUACAAAAAGGGAAAAUUCUCCAGAACCAACGCCAGAAACGUCUUCCAACGAUGAUCACGCUGAUCCCACGAAGAGUAAUCAGGAGGACCUCUCCCAUAGCGGCUUCUCUCCCGUUUCCAUUCCGCCCAACCUCAACUCUCCCGUCCUCCGCGGCUCCGUUUCCAACUCUACCGCCCCUGACUUAGAGCUUACCGUGGAAUCCACGGGAAAUGGCAAGAAAUUUACUUUUAGGUGUCCGUGUGGGAAAGCCCACGAGAUCUUGCUUUCCGGGAACGAUCAUUACUACAAGUUGGUGUAGUAAUACUCUUACUCUGUAAUUCAAUAAUGUUGCAAACAGGAUUAUCUGUAUUACCACUCUAUCAAACAGAGUUAUCUUUUUUUCUA